rnacentral:tRNA from 1 species
GGGCAUGUAGCACAGUGGUCUAGCGCGCACGCUUUGCACUUUCGUUGCUUAGAGAAGCAUCAGUGUGACUUUGCGUGAGGUCAUGGGUUCAAAUCCCAUCUUGUCCA